rnacentral:rRNA from 1 species
UACGAAGGGUGCGAGCGUUAUUCGGAAUUAUUGGGCGUAAAGGGUUCGUAGGCGGGAGAGCAAGUUAAGUGUGAAAUAUCCGGGCUUAACCUGGAAAGUGCAUUUAAAACUGUUUUUCUUGAGUGUUGAAGAGGGUGGUGGAAUUGCUGGUGUAGGAGUGACAUCCGUAGAGAUCAGCAGGAACAUCGGAGGCGAAGGCGGCCACCUGGUCAACAACUGACGCUGAGGAACGAAAGCAUGGGGAGCAAACAGG